CAAAUAUGUCGAGACACCCGCCUGUGGUUUUUGGGUCUCUUGACAUUCGAGGGUACUUUAUAUGACCCUUUUAGGCAUACAGGAUGUUGCCCGAAAAAACGGCACCCCCAGCUCUGUAAACUCAUUGCAGAAUAUAUCUCUCGUUAGAGUACGAAAGGCUAAAGCGCAACAUCAGGCCAACAGCCAGAAGAGUUAUCCGCCCAGAACAGCUAAAAGAUAAUCGUUGAAUCCGUCCUAAUGGAGCUUUCUGAAGAUGCUGAGGGGAAUAGAUGAUUGGGAAAACGCGUGCAGCCAGUCCCCAUCACACUAUUGUCGACCUGACAGACCCCAAAGAAGGAUCACGGAUGCUUCAUGUACUCUGAACGAUGACAUAGAUGCUAUUCUCCCGUUCUGUUCGAACGGCUUUUCAAACGCACCGAGAAUCGCCACAUUACCUCCCCCAGGAACCAAGCUCCAUAUUUCCGACCCAAACAAACAAUGCACAACUUGUGCGCAAGUGCAAUGCGCAGAAUCACCCCGGCCCGAAAAGUGUUCUGGGACGGAAACUUACUGCUUCAAGAAACGGGGCUACAUGGACAAGACUCCAACGAGACAUGCCCUGCAGAAUCUGGAAGGCCUGGUGAAAAAUGUCUAGAGCCCAAGGCUUCCGCGAUUCGUUAGAACAGCCCGUGUCAAAAAAAGCAGAGACUCCUCCCCGGCGUAUAAUGGCUCAGAAGACCAUACACACCGAGAGCACGCGGAGGAUUUCGGCGCGCCUGACAUUCCCAAUAAAACAACGAAACCGGAUGAUUUCACUGUUUUAAAUGACAUUCCAGAGGUAGACGACUGGAUAUUCUGUGACGCUGCCAACCUUAUUGAUUCCUCCAAAUCUUAUGUAGAAACACCCAAACCUGAAAUAGACCAAGCUAGGUUUAUCAAUGCCUUUUCCAGGGCUCUAAAAUCCAGAAAUGUCUUGCUACACAAACGAAUGGUGGAUUUACUCGAGCGGCAAUACAGUCAGGAUCUAUCCUUUUGGCGUAGAACAAUGCUCCGUUUGUUAACUUCUAUGGGCUACGUGGGACGCUAGCGUCCCACCUGCGGGACACAGCCAGUGAAAUAUCAGGGCGGCAAAUUCAA